rnacentral:rRNA from 1 species
CGAAGGGGUGCCUAUACAUGCAAGUCGAACGAACUCUGGUAUUGAUUGGUGCUUGCAUCAUGAUUUACAUUUGAGUGAGUGGCGAACUGGUGAGUAACACGUGGGAAACCUGCCCAGAAGCGGGGGAUAACACCUGGAAACAGAUGCUAAUACCGCAUAACAACUUGGACCGCAUGGUCCGAGUUUGAAAGAUGGCUUCGGCUAUCACUUUUGGAUGGUCCCGCGGCGUAUUAGCUAGAUGGUGGGGUAACGGCUCACCAUGGCAAUGAUACGUAGCCGACCUGAGAGGGUAAUCGGCCACAUUGGGACUGAGACACGGCCCAAACUCCUACGGGAGGCAGCAGUAGGGAAUCUUCCACAAUGGACGAAAGUCUGAUGGAGCAACGCCGCGUGAGUGAAGAAGGGUUUCGGCUCGUAAAACUCUGUUGUUAAAGAAGAACAUAUCUGAGAGUAACUGUUCAGGUAUUGACGGUAUUUAACCAGAAAGCCACGGCUAACUACGUGCCAGCAGCCGCGGUAAUACGUAGGUGGCAAGCGUUGUCCGGAUUUAUUGGGCGUAAAGCGAGCGCAGGCGGUUUUUUAAGUCUGAUGUGAAAGCCUUCGGCUCAACCGAAGAAGUGCAUCGGAAACUGGGAAACUUGAGUGCAGAAGAGGACAGUGGAACUCCAUGUGUAGCGGUGAAAUGCGUAGAUAUAUGGAAGAACACCAGUGGCGAAGGCGGCUGUCUGGUCUGUAACUGACGCUGAGGCUCGAAAGUAUGGGUAGCAAACAGGAUUAGAUACCCUGGUAGUCCAUACCGUAAACGAUGAAUGCUAAGUGUUGGAGGGUUUCCGCCCUUCAGUGCUGCAGCUAACGCAUUAAGCAUUCCGCCUGGGGAGUACGGCCGCAAGGCUGAAACUCAAAGGAAUUGACGGGGGCCCGCACAAGCGGUGGAGCAUGUGGUUUAAUUCGAAGCUACGCGAAGAACCUUACCAGGUCUUGACAUACUAUGCAAAUCUAAGAGAUUAGACGUUCCCUUCGGGGACAUGGAUACAGGUGGUGCAUGGUUGUCGUCAGCUCGUGUCGUGAGAUGUUGGGUUAAGUCCCGCAACGAGCGCAACCCUUAUUAUCAGUUGCCAGCAUUAAGUUGGGCACUCUGGUGAGACUGCCGGUGACAAACCGGAGGAAGGUGGGGAUGACGUCAAAUCAUCAUGCCCCUUAUGACCUGGGCUACACACGUGCUACAAUGGAUGGUACAACGAGUUGCGAACUCGCGAGAGUAAGCUAAUCUCUUAAAGCCAUUCUCAGUUCGGAUUGUAGGCUGCAACUCGCCUACAUGAAGUCGGAAUCGCUAGUAAUCGCGGAUCAGCAGCCU